rnacentral:rRNA from 1 species
CGGCGGACGGGUGAGUAACGCGUGGGUAACCUGCCUUACACAGGGGGAUAACACUGGGAAACCAGUGCUAAUACCGCAUAACAUCAUUUUAUGGCAUCAUGAAAUGAUCAAAGGAGAAAUCCGGUGUAAGAUGGGCCCGCGUCCGAUUAGCUAGUUGGUGAGGUAAUGGCUCACCAAGGCAGCGAUCGGUAGCCGGACUGAGAGGUUGGCCGGCCACAUUGGGACUGAGACACGGCCCAGACUCCUACGGGAGGCAGCAGUGGGGAAUAUUGCGCAAUGGGGGGAACCCUGACGCAGCGACGCCGCGUGAAGGAAGAAGGCCUUCGGGUUGUAAACUUCUCUGAUUGGGGAAGAAAAAUGACGGUACCCAAAGAACAAGCCACGGCUAACUACGUGCCAGCAGCCGCGGUAAUACGUAGGUGGCGAGCGUUAUCCGGAAUUACUGGGUGUA